rnacentral:tRNA from 1 species
UGCGGAGAGGAACGGCCUCCACCCGGGCCUCAUAAGCCCGUUUUCCCGAGUUCGACUCUCGGCUCCGCAACCA